rnacentral:snoRNA from 1 species
GUGCAUCCUUAAUAAACCCCCCAGUUGCUGUUUUCUUAGUCUCUGGGACAAGAAAGGGUGCAAGAUUAAUCUUAGAAUUAUCCAAAGCUGAGAGCCACGUGCAGUAUCUCUUUGCUAUUUCACCUCUAAGACAAAA